rnacentral:rRNA from 1 species
GUAGGGUGCAAGCGUUGUCCGGAAUUAUUGGGCGUAAAGAGCUCGUAGGCGGUUUGUCGCGUCUGCUGUGAAAACUCGGGGCUUAACCCCGGGCCUGCAGUGGGUACGGGCAGACUAGAGUGCGGUAGGGGAGACUGGAAUUCCUGGUGUAGCGGUGAAAUGCGCAGAUAUCAGGAGGAACACCGGUGGCGAAGGCGGGUCUCUGGGCCGUAACUGACGCUGAGGAGCGAAAGCGUGGGGAGCAAACAGGAUUAGAUACCCUGGUAGUCCACGCCGUAAACGUUGGGCGCUAGGUGUGGGGCUCUUUCCACGAGUUCCGUGCCGCAGCAAACGCAUUAAGCGCCCCGCCUGGGGAGUACGGCCGCAAGGCUA